rnacentral:rRNA from 1 species
AACGAACGUUAGCGGCGCGCUUAAUACAUGCAAGUCGAGCGAGAAAGGUCUUCGGACCCAGUAAAGCGGCGCACGGGUGAGUAACACGUAGGUUACCUACCCCCGGGUGGUGGAUAACAGUCCGAAAGGACUGCUAAUACAGCAUAAUACCGAAAGGUCAAAGCGGGCCUCUCUAUAGAAGCUCGCGCCUGGGGAUGGGCCUGCGGCGCAUCAGCUAGUUGGUGGGGUAAAAGCCUACCAAGGCUAAGACGCGUAGCUGGUCUGAGAGGAUGGACAGCCACACUGGAACUGAGACACGGUCCAG